CUCAGCCUCCCGAGUAGCUGGGACUACAGGCGCCCGCCACUGCGCCCGGCUAAUUUUUUGUAUUUUUAGUAGAGAGGGGGUUUCACCGUGGUCUCGAUCUCCUGACCUCGUGAUCCGCCCGCCUCAGCCUCCCAAAGUGCUGGGAUUACAGGCGUGAGCCACCGCGCCCGGCCAGUUCAAUGGAUUUUAAAAAUUAUUAUUCUCUAGAAAAAAGACCACGAACUUUGGAGUGGACAUCCUGAGACCUGCCUACGAAGACCAUUAGGGUAAAGAAGUCACCCCUUCACCCCAGGACCAGGAAGCCUCCAGGAUGGCAUAAGCGACCAAACAGCUGGGAGCCAAGCACAGUGCAGGGGGCUUGGGGUCGGCGGCCGGAGGCUGGGUGGCCUCCAGAAGACACUCCCCUGAUUCCUACACCGAGGGAACACACAGCAGCAAGCUAGGAAAGAAGGGGUGACCCAGCCCAACGCUGUAAACCAGGGCGCGAACCGGCGUUGAGCUGUGCAGCUGCGCCCUGGGCUCCAGUCCUGCUCUGCCGCAGACCCCACCGGAGCCAGCACCUGCCUCCCCGACCCUCGCUGGGGCGGCUGUGAGAUGAGCCCAGAGCCUUCCUGAGCCAACCCUCGCAAGGAAAGUCUGUCUGUUCACCCCACUAUCCUUGUCUUGAAGGAUGAAGAAAAGAGGGCCCCCCGGGAGGUCCCAAAAGGUGGAAUGGACAUCUGGGAUCCAAGCACAGCAAUUUCUUUAUUUUUCUUAAGGUAUCCAGCUUGUUGGAAUCUAAGAUCUGCGAAGCCUCUCACUAGAGGAUGAAAAUCGUUCUGCAUAAAGGCCUGGGCUUUAUGAAAAAUAUAUUCACACCUCCCGUGUCCGAGCUGGGAUACCAAAGAAGUUCCUGGUUGAGUACUACUUAUGAAUGAAGGAUUCAGGGGAUGCACAGAAGCCAUGCCUUCUCUCAGGAGCAGACAGCACAAGACUUUCCUGCCAGAGGCACAGUCCCCAGUGGGAGUAGCAUCCACAUAAGACAGGAUGCAGAGAUGUCUUCAAGCAGCUUCAAACAAAACUUCAAGAAAGAAAGUGCAAGUGAAAAAGGAAAUUCAUCCUUCCAGUCACUUAACACAGCACUGUCACGGACACCUUGUGCCUCCUUAAAAUUCGUAUACUGAAGUUCUAAGCCCCAGUACCCCAGAAUGUGACCUUCUUUGGAAAUAGGGUCAUUGCAGAUAUGAUUAGUUAAGAGGAGAUCAUACUGGAGUGGGCUUUAAUCCAAUAUGACUGGUGUCCUUAUGUAAAGGGGAAAUUUGGACACAGACACACACAAGGAGAACACCAUGUGAACUGAAGUCAAAGAUUUGGGUGAUGCUUCUACAAGCCAAGAAAUGCCAAAGAUGACCAGCAAAGCACCGGCAGCUGGUGGAGGAGCCUGGACCAGAUUCUUCCUCACAGCCCUCAAAAGGAACCAAUCUUGCCAAAGCUUUGACUUAGACUUCUAGCCCCCUGUGAUGGUUAAUGUUAAGUGGCAGCUUGACUGGGUUAAGGGAUGCCCAGAUAGCUGGUAAGACAGUAUGUCUGUGUGCAUCUCUCAGAGUGUUUCUGGACAAGAUCAGCAUUUGAAUCCUUAGAGUAAAGAAGAUCUGCCCUCACCCACGUGCAUCACCCUAUCUCUGGAGAGCGCGAACAAACAGGAGGAAGGGCACAUAUGCUCCUUCUGUUCCAGCUGGCACAUCCAUCUUCUCCUGCCCCCUGACUUCAGAGCUCCUGGUUCUCGGGCCUCAGGAUUCCAGCACUUACAUGAGAGCGUGCUUCCCCCUCCCUACUCCACCCCUAGGUUCUCCGCCCUUUGGCCUCUGACUGAAUUCCACCACCAGCUUUUCAGGGUCUCCAGCUUGCAGACGGCAGAUCGUGGGACUUCUUGGCCUCCAUAAUUAUGUAAGCCAAUUCCCAUAAUAAAUCUCCUAUCUAUCUAUCUAUCUAUCCAUCUAUCAAUCAUCUAUCUAGUCUAUCUAUCUAUCUAUCUCUAUCCUAUUGAUUCUGUGUCUCUGAGGAACCCUAAUACACCUCCAGAACUGUGAGAUGAUACAUUUCUGUGGUUUAAGCCACUCAGAAGGUGGUACUUUGUUUCACCAGGCCUAGCAAACUAAUACAAGUGCAUGGAAGGUGACUACUCAUGACUGCAACUUAGAGAACAAGGGUUAUAAUAAAAAUAAAAGUGUUAUACAAAGGUGGCAAGAUAAAUGACAAUAAAUGAAAAUAUUAACAUGUGAAUUAAAAAGUAAAGAUAUUUUUCCUAGCAUUCUCCCAGAAAGUAGAGACGCGUCUCUCUUGUUUGCCAUCAUAUCCAGCAAUGGCA
ensembl:lncRNA GRASLND glycosaminoglycan regulatory associated long non-coding RNA